rnacentral:lncRNA from 1 species
GGCAAAUACCUCGUUCAGCAGCAGUAUGUCGCACCAAACGUUGUGGAGCGAAAGUGUCAAGGCUUCUCCCCUUCGAUUUCCGCUUACGAUGGUCAUCAGUCUGGCCUAAACGGCGCACGCCAGAGGAAGCCAGACUCCUCUAGCUGGUAUGGCACAGGGCAGUCGCAGUCAACAUGAGGCGCGGUAGGGUGAGUGCGGCCAUCAACACCCGUUGCUCAGUGUCCCCUAGUCGAGUAAAGAAUCUGUUCUACAUUGCUUUUAAGAAUGCCCCUCAGCCCGCCGGGCUUCGCACUGAGG